GUGUCAGCCGCCGCGGUAAUACGUAGGGGGCAAGCGUUGUCCGGAUUUAUUGGGCGUAAAGAGCGUGUAGGCGGCUUUACAGGUCCGCUGUGAAAACUCGAGGCUCAACCUCGAGCUGUCGGUGGAAACCGUAAAGCUAGAGUCCGGAAGAGGAGAGUGGAAUUCCCGGUGUAGCGGUGAAAUGCGCAGAUAUCGGGAAGAACACCCGUGGCGAAGGCGGCUCUCUGGGACGGUACUGACGCUGAGACGCGAAAGCGUGGGGAGCGAACAGGAUUAGAUACCCUUGUAGUCC
rnacentral:rRNA from 1 species